GCUUUCUACUUCUAUUAAGGUGUAAUCUUUUUCUCUUAUAUCAUAUUCUUCUUCUUCUUCGUAUUGCUCUUUAUAGCCUAAAUCUUUACAACAUUGACUUUUCUUUUUGCAGUCUUUACAACAUGCCUGUGAACUAUCAGUUUCGGAGGUGUUUUGAGAUAUACCAACUUGUCUUCCUUUUGUUUCAAACUUAAUAGUUUGUACAGGUGUAUAAGUGAGAUGUUUAAAAAAUAUUACCCCAUCUCUUGUAAUUAAUGUUCCUCCGUUAUUGUGUAUUAUAAAUUUUAAUCCUAAUACAAAAUCUUCUUAAUAAUAACGAUGGAUUAACCUGUAAAUUCCUAGGAUGUUUCUAAGACCUUAAAAAAGUCUGAAAAAAUCACAGGACGUCUUGUUAGCCAUCUCCAGGGUGGGGUUAAUGAAGAAGUUUUAAGAAUACAGGUUAAAAGGAAGAGAUGAACGGGGUAGUAACAUAGAAAAAAAGAAGGGAAAAAACAGGAUACAUAUAAGAUAAACAUGAUAAGACACGAGUAAGAGGGAGUACUGAGUAGGAUUUACAAAAAUCUGAACUUCUGCUAUUCUACUAUUUUGCUUGAAAGUUCUGAUACCAAAUAAAUAGGAAAAUAAAAGAAAUAAAUAAAAGCAAUAGAAAUGAAAUAAAUAGUAAAGUAAAAGCAACAGAAAUGGCAAUAAUAUAAACAGAACUUUCAACCAAAAUAGCAGAAAACUUUCAAGCAAAAUAGUAGAAAAGCAGAAGUUCAGAUUUUUGUAAAUUCUACUCAGUACUCCCUCUUACUUGUGUCUUAUCAUGUUUAUCUUAUAUGUAUCCUGUUUUUUCCCUUUUUUUCUUUUUUUUUCUUUUUAUGUUACUACCCCGUUCAUCUCUUUCUUUUAACCUGUAUUCUUAAAACUUCUUCAUUAACCCCACCCUGGAGAUGGCCAACAAGACGUUCUGUGAUUUUUUCAGACUUUUUUAAGGUCUUAGAAACAUCCUAGGAAUUUACAGGUUAAUCCAUCGUUGUUAUUAAGAAGUUAAAAGUCUAACCAUAUACUGAGGGUAGUUUUAUAUUACAAACACAUUAAUUAAAGCAAAUAAACAGACAUAAUUUACAUAUAUUUUUAGGGAAAAUACAGGAAACAUAAAAGACUUACAUGACUUAGAAGGAGAGAGAUUUUCCUUUCGAGAACCCAGACUGACUCUUACACACUUAAAACAAACUUUUUACAAGCUGGUUAUUACAAGAGGGAUUUCUAGGAGUUUUCGGAUUUAGUAGUGGAGAUGAUUUUUCGAAACAUUGGGAAGGGGAAUAUGUUGUGUGUUCUUUCUCUGGUUUUUCUUUUCUUCUCUUUCUUAAGUGUGGAGGAGUGUCUUUAUAUAGAGGUUGAGGGGGUUUUAGCAUACAGUGUGGACGAAUCCUAAUGUGGACAAAUCUUAAUGGCCAAACGUGGCCGACGCACUAAGAUAGUGAAAAUAAAAAGUAAUAAAAAGUAGUGGCCUAGACGUUGCCGACUCUCGAAACGAUAUGCUCAAAUAAUUCAUGCCGGGUACACAUUUGGGCCCCAUCGCACAUGCAUUAUUUUCACUUAUUGACACAAUAUACAACGCGUGCUUAUCAGUUUUUUCCUCUUCGGAGGAUAGUGAUAAAGUAAGCACUUCACAUGACAAAUAUGGGCAUACCCACAUGGUACACUUUUAUUCCUACUUUAACUUAUUGUCUUGUUCUUCCCCUUCUUGAUUUUGUCUUCAAGUAUCAAGAUUGUGCAGAGCUACGGAAUCAAAACUCAUUCCGGAAUCAUCAUCUUCAUUGGGAUUAUGAGCAUCUUCAUUGGGAUCUUGAUCUUGAGCAUCUUCAUAAUACAAAUGUUCUCUAUAGUCUUUUUCUCCUGAGCUGUUUGAUCUGGUUAUGUUAUUAUUAGUAUUCCUUCUUGAACUAGUAUUAGUUCUGUCUCGUUCUGUAUCUGGUACUAGUCUGUCUCCACUUGGAUCUGGGUUUGGUGGAGUAGUAAUUACAUGUUUAUCUUGUCCUUGUUGAAAAACUGUUCUAAAGUUCUUUUUAUUAUGCUUUCUAUUUUAUCUAUUCUUUUCUUUUAUGGAGCAUAGUCUUCUUUGUUGUCGUCUCUACCUUGAGUAAAUGAUCUAGGUAAACCUUCGCCUAGAUGAAGGACCUUCACCUUCACUUUUUGGCAAAGUGACAGCCAUAAACGGGUUUGAUAUAUAUAUAUAUACGGUGCUAAAUACGGUGAUAUUCUAAUCAAGGUUUGAAAAAAGAAAAGAUACACUAUUAGAACUAAUGUCAUUGGGUAUCUACUGAAGAAAUAAAUAAAAUUUCAAUAAACUAUUUGACGUACUUGAGCCAAAAAAUAAUACACAUUUUUUUUUGGGCAACUAGUAUUAGUUCUGUCUCGUUCUGUAUCUGGUACUGGUCUGUCUCCACUUGGAUCUGGGUUUGGUGGAGUAGUAAUUACAUGUUUAUCUUGUCUUUGUUGAAAAAAUUGUUCUAAAGUCUUUUUUAUUAUGCUCUCUAUUUUAUCAUUCUUUUUCUUUUUAUGGAGCAUAGUCUUCUUUGUUGUCGUCUCUACCUUGAGUAAAUGAUCUAGGUAACCUUCGCCUAGAUGAAGGACCUUCACCUUCACUUUUUGGCAAAGUGACAGCCAUAAACGGGUUUGAUAUGUCUUUACCGGCUACCGUUUGAACCGGACUAGCAGUACCUUUUUUAUCCGAUACAGUGGAUCUUGUUGCAUUCUUGGGGAAUGCACACCCUGCUCAUCCAUUUUUUUGAGAGAUGGAGAACUCUUUUCUGAGGUCUGUGUACUGGUAUCAAUCUUCUGAAUGGAUUCUUUACCUUUGAAUGAUUUUACCUGCUCCAUUAGUUUAGUGUUCUCUUGGAGUAAUGCUUCCACCUUUGCAUUUAAUCUUUUGAAUGCCUCGGUCAUUGAAGAACAAUGGUCACAAAAGAUUAUUUUGUCUGUAUCUUUUUGGAUAUUGUAUUGAGGGGUCUUUUGUGGAUUUUGUCUGAGGGCUGGAGAGAUAUAGUAAUUUGGACCAAGUAUCCCUCUUGCAUAAUCUAGUGCUUCAGUAAAAUCAUUAAAACCUUUAAAAAGAGGAGUUUUAACUCCGUUUAUGGAUUCUACUACUUCUAUCCAAGUUUGAAAAAUACCGUUAGUCCUACCAUGUAUUACCACAUAAUAUUUAAAUUUGUUCUCUCUACUUUUGUCUGUAAAGUAUUGACGUAAAGCAAUUAAUGAAGCUAUAAAAUAUUUAUUGUCUUUCUUACUAUAUGCCAUCCAUAAAUUGUCUGCUAAGCAUUUCUGAGGUUUGUCUAACACACACUCUGGUAAUUGUUGAAAAGAUAAAUUUGAAUUCGGAUAACAUAUUAAAUUAUGCUUACCGAAGUACAUACGAUCCAUCAUCUCUAUUGAUGGUGUCUGAGGUCUAAACUUCAUAUUACUUAAUAAAGUCUGAGCGUAUGAGUCUGAUGUUGAGGCUACUCCUUUGCCUUUGUCUGUUGAACUGGUUGGUCUCAUGCUGAAAGCAAAUAUACGGUUAAGUUAUUUUAAUAUUUAAUCUACUUAAUUGAUCUGCUAAACUGUUAUCCUUUCCUUUUAUAUAUUCAAAUAUAACAUUUGGAUAAAUGCAUAUAGUAUCCAUAAAAUUUAGCCAUCGUCUCUUACUACUAGCCUUUUGAUUUAUCUUUUGAUGGAAUUUAACUAUGGCUUCACAGUCAGUUCUUACUAGUAUCUCAUUUUUAUUUAAAAUAUAUAACUUAAAAAUAUUAAGACCGUAUAUGAUAGCUAAAACUUCGGCAUCUAUACUGCUCAUAUUGCCCUUUUCUUUAUAUUUUCCACUUUGAUAAGCACAAAUCUUUUCUUCUAUCUUAUUACUAUAUUUAUUUGGUCUGGCUUUUAACACAGCUCCCCAUCCUUGGAAACUACCAUCUGUUUCAAUUAUUAGAUAAUCUGUUUCUAAUGGUAUACUUAGUUCUGGAAUGUUUUUAACUUUUUCUUUAAUCUGUUGUACUAAUUUAAUGUCUUCUAUAUUAAAAUGUUUUUGUCCUUUACUACCUGUUUUUGAGUAUAAAGGUCCGGCUAGUCGUCCUAAGUCUUUAAUAAAAUUUCUAGCAUAAUUUACUAACCCUAAAAAAAUUUGUAAAUCUUUUGUAUUAUCUAAUUUAUCAGGCAUAUCUAAUACUUUUGUUGCGAUAUGUGGUUGUAAUUUAAUUUUACCUUCUCCCAAAGUUACUCCUAAAAAUUUAUAUGGUUCUUACAUAAUUCCAUUUUCUUUUUACUUACUAUUAUUCCAUUUUUUACAAAUAAACGAAAUACCGUCUGUAGGUGUCCUAAAUGGUCUUUAAUAUCUUUACUAAAAACUAAGAUGUCAUCUACAUAUACUAAGACAAACCUUUUAUAGUCUCCAAAUAUAGUAUCCAUUUUUCUUUGAAAUAUUGGCGGGGCAGUCUUUAGCCCCAAUGGCAUAGCUAACCAUUCAAAAUGUCCUUCGGGACAAGUGAAUGUUGUCCAUUCUAUGCUUUCUUCAUGCAUUUUUACCUGCCAAUAUCCUGAUUUACAAUCGAAUUUACUAAAUAUUCUUUUUCCUUGGAUUCUAUUGAUUAGUUCAUUUUUAUCGAGUAAUUUAUAGGCAUCUGUUCUGGUAUUAUCAUUAAGUCUUUUGUAAUUAAUUACCAUUCUUGCUUUUCCUCGUACUAUUUCACUAUGAUUUCUUACCAUGAAUGCUGCUGAUCUAUGUUUUGAUGUAGAUCUUCUUAUUACUCCUAAAUUUAAUAAUUCUUUUAUUUGUACACCAAAAUCUUCUAGGUCUUGAUUGGUUGCUUCAAUAGCAGCUGUUUUUAUUAUGUAUUCAGGGUUUAUGAUGUCUAAUUUACAUACUACCUUAUUAUUUUUCCAAUAUUUUAAAGGUUUUUCUCCUAUUAUUUCCAUUUCGUCUAAUAUUUUUACUAUAUUGUCUAAAUCUUUAGGACUUCUAAUAGUACCUAUCCUAUCUAUUCCUAUUUGAAAAUUAUAAAAUGAGCUUUCUACUUCUAUUAAGAUGUAAUCUUUUUCUCUUAUAUCAUAUUCUUCUUCUUCUUCGUAUUGCUCUUUAUGGCCUAAAUCUUUACAACAUUGACUUUUCUUUUUGCAGUCUUUACAACAUGCCUGUGAACUAUCAGUUUCGGAGGUGUUUUGAGAUAUACCAACUUGUCUUCGUUUUGUUUCAAACUUAAUAGUUUGUACAGGUGUAUAAGUGAGAUGUUUAAAAAAUAUUACCCCAUCUCUUGUAAUUAAUGUUCCUCCGUUAUUUUGUAUCAUAAAUUUUAAUCCUAAUACAAAAUCUACAUUUAUGUUA
rnacentral:lncRNA from 1 species